rnacentral:rRNA from 1 species
CCUUAACCUGGCCUUGACAUACUAAGAACUUUCCAGAGAUGGAUUGGUGCCUUCGGGAACUUAGAUACAGGUGCUGCAUGGCUGUCGUCAGCUCGUGUCGUGAGAUGUUGGGUUAAGUCCCGCAACGAGCGCAACCCUUUUCCUUAUUUGCCAGCGGGUUAAGCCGGGAACUUUAAGGAUACUGCCAGUGACAAACUGGAGGAAGGCGGGGACGACGUCAAGUCAUCAUGGCCCUUACGGCCAGGGCUACACACGUGCUACAAUGGUCGGUACAAAGGGUUGCUACCUCGCGAGAGGAUGCUAAUCUCAAAAAGCCGAUCGUAGUCCGGAUCGCAGUCUGCAACUCGACUGCGUGAAGUCGGAAUCGCUAGUAAUCGCGGAUCAGAAUGCCGCGGUGAAUACGUUCCCGGGCCUUGUACACGCCGCCCGUCACACCAUGGGAGUUUGUUGCACCAGAAGUAGGUAGUCUAACCGCAAGGAGGACGCUUACCACGGUGUGGCCGAUGACUGGGGUGAAGUCGUAACAAGGUAGGCGUAGAUGA